AGAAUGACCAACAAGCUCAACACAAUUUUGUGUGAAAAACAUAAGGUUUGAUUGAACUGCACAUUAAAAUAAUCGGGCUGUCCGGUUUUCAGUCAGGUUUUUAGCAUCGGGAGUGUUACCCCUUGUGUAUUUUAUGUAAUAGUGUUGGGGUAGAAUUUUCUGAAAUCUUUAUAUCUUCAACAAUUUUAUUCAAAUUUGAAGUAUAUGUUAAUCAUAAACAUAUAAAUACAAUAUAUGAUUGGAACAGUCUAGAUUUUUAUUUCUGAUAAUUAUUGUGCAAACCGU